GCUCAAGGGUGAGGUCAUGUUGACUUGAUGGCUUUGUUUUGCUUCAGAGGUUCUUCUCCUUUCCUAACUAAAAUUGGGCCUGCAUUAUUUACCAAUAGUAAGAGGCUCGCUAUUUAUUAAAUGGUGACUAUAUUCUUGGAACUGUGCUAAGCAUUACUGAGAUAGAAAAUACUAACACCUUACCCAUAUUAUCUUUACAGUCUUGUUUUCUGGUUGGGAGGCAGAAAUUAAUCAACAAAACACAGUGAGAUAAUUUAUAAAAAAUGGUCAGGUGUCCAGUAUAGAAAAUAAGAGCCAAAGAAUUUGAGAAGUGAGAGAUGAUAUAGUUGAAAUUAUCUGAAAAGGCUUUGUGAAGGUAUCUGAAAUUGCUGAAAUAGCUAAAAUAGAUGGUAUCAGUAGUUAUAAGCUUUGGAAGAGAAAGAAUCCAUAGAGGGAGAGGGGAAGAAAGGUCAUUGGGGAAGAAAGGAAGGAAAAAUGUGAGCAAAACGGGGAUUGGUAGACUAAGGCAAAUGCCUCUUUGUCACAUAGUUUAGACAUGAAGUAGUCUUUGUUGGGAAACUUACAUGAGCAAAAAUGUCAACAAAAUAGGAUGCAUGGAUGUAUGGAAGAUGCACCUAACAGCAAUUAAUGCAAGCAUACCUUGAGAAUGACCCUAUGGUCUAAGAAGAAUGUCUGAUUAGAGUUCUGAGCUAAGGACACUGGCAGUGGCCAACCUGGAGAAUCAUUCCUUCUCUAUGAGGAACAGCAGAACCCCUAGCCCACCUUGUGGAAUGCAGGCCAUACAAGGGAUUGAGGUCAUUUGUUUGGGGUUAACUGAAGUUUGUCAGGUGAAGGUUUCUAGCGGUGCGGUGCUAAGUGAAAAUGCUAUAUAAACUGCAUGCUUUUUACAAAUGGUAGUGCUUCUCCUAUCCAGCCUGCAUUCACUGAUCCUCUCUGUAUGGAAGUCCCCUCAAUAAAUUCUGUUUCCUUCACUGGCUUCAGGUCUCUUUGGCCUUUCAAACAUGGUGCCAUCCCUAUUGAAGUCAAUAGGAAUCUGGUACUGUGAUGGCCCCAUAUCUUAUUGCCAUUCGGCAGAGAGCUAUGAUUGAUGUAUUUACAGUAAGUGCCAAGAAGGGUUUCACAAGCAGGAGAAAAACAGUCUGAACUUGGGCAGUCACCCAUUGUUGGGAGACAAUAUUUUUUGUGUCUCUUGCAUUUCUGCACAUCUUACAAAGUGACAUAUUGACUGGCCUUUGUUUAAACUAUCUUUUUAAGGAUGUUUAUGUAGCAAACACCUUAGAAAAUAUAGUGUCUCUGGCCGGGCACUGUGGCUCAUGCCUGUAAUUUCAGCACUUUGGGAGGCCAGGGCGGGUGGAUCACAAGGACAGGAGAUUGAGACCGUCCUGGCUAACACAGUGAAACCCCUUCUCUACUAAAAAUACAAAAAAUUAGUCGGGCAUGGUGGUGGAUGCCUGUAGUUGCAGCUACUUGGGAGGCUGAGGCAGGAGAAUGGCGUGAACUCGGGAGGCGGAGCUUACAGUGAGCUCAGAUCGUGCCACUGCACUCCCACAUGGGCUACAGAGCAAGACUCUGUCUCAAAAAAAAAAGAAUAAAAGAAAAUAUAGUGUCUCCUGGUUAGGUGUGGUGACUCACACCUGUAAUCUCAGCAUUUUGGGAGGCUGAGGUGGGCAAAUCACAAGGUCAGAAGUUCAAGACCAGCUUGGCCAACAUGGUGAAACCCUGUCUCUACUAGAAAUACAAAAUUAGCUGGGCGUGGUGACGGGCACCUGUAAUCCCAGCUACUUGGGAGGUUGAGGCAGGAGAAUUGCUUGAACCUGGGAGGCGGAGGUUGCGGUGAGCCGAGAUUGUGCCACUGCACUCCAGCCCAGGCAACAGAGUGAGACUCCAUCUCAAAAAAAAAAAAAAA
ensembl:lncRNA